AGACGGGACCCGCACAAGCGGUGGAUGAUGUGGAUUAAUUCGAUGCAACGCGAAAACCUUACCUACCUUGACAUGUCCGGAAUCCGAAGAGAUUUGGGAGUGCUCGCAAGAGAGCCGGAACACAGGUGCUGCAUGGCUGUCGUCAGCUCGUGUCGUGAGAUGUUGGGUUAAGUCCCGCAACGAGCGCAACCCUUGUCAUUAGUUGCCAUCAUUUGGUUGGGCACUCUAAUGAGACUGCCGGUGACAAACCGGAGGAAGGUGGGGAUGACGUCAAGUCCUCAUGGCCCUUAUGGGUAGGGCUUCACACGUCAUACAAUGGUCGGUACAGAGGGUUGCCAACCCGCGAGGGGGAGCUAAUCCCACAAAGCCGAUCGUAGUCCGGAUCGCAGUCUGCAACUCGACUGCGUGAAGUCGGAAUCGCUAGUAAUCGUGGAUCAGCAUGUCACGGUGAAUACGUUCCCGGGUCUU
rnacentral:rRNA from 1 species